GAGCUCAACAAAAUCAGCUGGUAAAAUAUUCACUUUUUUAUCUUAUUAAUAACUUCAUUUCGAACUUGGUACAGUCAAGUACCUGAAAUUGUCCGUACCCAAAACUGUAAUUAGUAGGAAAAAUUCUUAACACUAAGUAUUGACAAUAAUAAAAGUAAGAGUAAUAGUUUGACAAUUGGUUAUAAGUUUUGGGAUUUAUGCUGUGAUUAUAAACCAACUAAUCCUCUUGGAUCAAGAAUAGAGGAGUAGAAGCGAUUAUUAAUUAGCAAUUAAUUAUUUAUCAAUUAAUUGCCUUUAAAUCAUUUAUUGGAAACUUCCAAUAAUCAAUUAAAUCAUUGGAAAUAAAAAGUCAAAUGUUAAAAUCAUAAUUUCCGGACUUAAUUUAGUCUUAAUGUUAAUUGUUCAUCUCAUGAGAUUCUGAUUAUCAUCCAAGAAAAUUAAACGAUUCAUUUGCAAUACCAAUAAUGAUCAUAAAACAAAUUACAUUGGAAAAACGAUUAACAAUUAACAAUUGGCUAUUUAAAAGCAGUUAACAAGUUAAAUCACUUUUUAGUUGACCAAAAGUAAUCAAACAUCAAAGUUAAUCAAAUUAAAUCAACGCAGAAGAAGAUGAAGGUUCCUCAGACGAUGAAGUUGAAACUAGUGGGAUUUUAACCUUUCUUGGUUUUGAAUUCAACAAGAAAUUUUUGAAUUCAUUUCAACAAUUAAAGACAAUUUAUUUGGUUGGAUACUAAAUUACUUUGGUUUACCCAAUUAGCAAUUUUGUUUUAGCAAUUGAUUUUUUAGUCAAAAAUAUAAAAUGUUUCGUAUUGUACUUGAUUAAAAUGCCGUCGAUUAAAUCGGCAAUUUAAUAUC